rnacentral:lncRNA from 1 species
GAAGUGGAAGUCCCGAAAGGCUAUCUGGCGGUGUACGUCGGAGAGAACCAACCUUCAUUUCAAGAAUUACUGAGCCAAGCUGAAGAGGAAUUCGGAUAUUGUCAUCCAAUGGGUGGCCUCACAAUUCCCUGCAAGGAAGAUGUGUUCUUAGAGACAGCUUCUAGCUUGAACAAACUAUAAUUCUAAUUCCAAUAGAUCCUAACAUAGACUAGUUGAGACAAUUUUUGUAUAGCACAAUUUUCUUUUCUCCAUUUUGUUGUUUCCUCUGAAAUUGAAAAGGUCAUUAAUGAGAAUAUUGCAAAAUCAUGUGAAUUAUAUGUUAUUUUUCCUCAAUCUACAUGAACUCGUAUACAAUUCACGAGCACACACCCGUUGCUAUAUGGAGGGACAUUAUGUAUCACUUAGUUAUAGGGAUGCAUGCCAGUAAUUCUUAAUCAGAAAACUACCACAUUAAAUAAUAGGGUUAAGGUUUACUUCUAUUUAAAAUAAAUUAAAUAUGCAUAAAAAUUGAGACCGUAAUCUUCAACAAUUACCUGCCUAAUUUCCUUUACACCGAUGACUUUCUUCUUGUGCUUUUAUUUCUAUCUAUAACCCAACCCAAUUGAGAAAUGUUGAGAAUCGCACAUUGGACAGUGAUAUGGUGUGAGGAGUGGCUAUAAGUGGUCAAUGUCCCUCACCUUACACGUUAGUUUGGUGGGGAUGAGUUACAUGUCCAACAUAAUUCAAUUUUUACACAAAUGUCACGUUACUAAUAAUCUAUCAUCCAUCAAGAAACUCCAUGGCCACCUACUCACACAAGGCACUCUCUUCAUUCUCCAUGAUAUUCACACCCAACUCAUUGCUACUUACACCUCAUGCCUUCCCAACAACAACCUUCAAACAUUAGUCAACACUUUCUUCAAAUGCAUGAAUUCCACCAACCCAUUACACUUCAAUCUCAUCAUUUCUCAUUUUUGUCACAAAGGUUUCCCCUUUCUUGCUCUCGCAUCCUUUUCCUUUAUGCACACCAACGCUAUUCCUUUAGAUACAUACGCUUUGUGUAGCACUUUGACCGCUUCGUCGAAACUCAAAGACUUUCAUUUUGGGAAGCAGAUACAUGCCCAUGUUGGAAAAUCAGGUUGGUCUUCUAGUGUGUUUGUGGGUAGUGCUUUGAUUGAUUUUUACUCUAAAUUGUUGAAUGUGGGAGAUGCAGCUCAGGUGUUUGAUGAAAUUCCUCACAAGAAUACUGUUUGUGUUAAUGCACUUAUGAGUGGUUAUGGUGAGGCUGGAUUAUGGUUUAAGGUACUUGAACUAGUUAGGAUGAUGCCUGUGUUGAAAUUGAAGUAUGAUCAAUUUACAUUAUCAGCGGCUUUACGGGCGUGCACUGGAUUAUCUUCUGUUGAAAUUGGUAGACAACUGCAUAGCUAUUUGCUCCAUACUAUACAUGAUAUAGAGAGUGAUGUGUUUCUGCAGAGCGCAUUGAUUGAGAUGUAUGGAAAGUGUGGAAUGGUAGAGAAGGCUUGGCUUGUUUUCAAGUUGGCUGGAAUGGAGAUCAGAAAAGAAAGGAAUAGAGACGUUGUGUUAUGGACUUCAAUGCUUGGUGUGUAUGGUAAAAAUGGACAUUAUAAGGAAGUAAUUGAUUUGUUCAGUGAAAUGUUGGAGGAAGGAAUAAGACCUGAUGGAAUAGCAUUUCUGACAGUAAUAUCAGCUUGCGGUCACACUGGCCAAGUGCAUGUUGGUGUCAAGUAUUUUGAAUCUAUGACUGAUGAUUUCAAGUUGGAUCCUGGUCCAGAGCAUUAUAGCUGCCUGGUUGAUCUGCUUUGUAGGGCUGGAGAAUUAAACAAGGCAUGGGAAUUACUUAAUGAGACGCUCUAUAAUAAGGGAAUAGGGAAUUGUAGCGUCUCUAUGUGGGGAACUCUACUCAAUGCUUGUGUAGACAGUGGGAAUAUAGAGCUGGGAAAAUGGGCAGCUCAGAGGGCUCUUGAGUUAGAUCCUCAAAAUGCUGGAAUUUGUGUUAUGUUAUCGAAUCUGUAUGCCCGUUUUGGUAUGUGGGAUGAGAUUGGACGUUUGAGGGUAUUGAUCCAAGAAAGAGGGUUAAGAAAAGAUGUUGGAUGCAGUUGGGUUCAAGUGACAAGUUGAAUGGAUUAGGAAAUGGUUUGAAGUGAUGCUGUUACCUUUAAAAUCUUGCUGGUGGGUCUCUACUCUCCUAAACACGCUUACUAUAACAAGUCAGGAAAAUUGGGAAUGCUCAACUAGCAUGGGGUUAAAAAAUGAGACAUUUGUUUAGAUUUUAGAGUGGAUUAUGAACUGAAGAACAGUCUAGCAUAUAUUUCCUUGGAGAAAUGCUAAAUAGUACAAAAUUACAAGCAAUAAUUUUAGUAUGAAAAGUAUGUAAAUAGCUUUUUAUCCACUUCUCUCAUGUGUUGUUAUGGGGAUAUGGAUUGGUACUCGUCAUUUGAUUGAUUAAAAAGGUCAAUACUUCAUACAAAAUUGCAGUUUUAUUUUCUUAGUUUUAAUAGUUAAGUAGACCAAAAUAAUCUGAUUUGUUAUGGUCAUUUAGUAGAAAAAUUGUAAAUUUUAUUGUGUACUUGUUAUAAGCACCUCGUGUGCUUGGAAUGAACAUUUAAUACAUUCAUUUUUGGCUUGUUAAAAAACAAAGUAGACCAAGAUUAAAUCAACGGCUAUUUCAAAUGCAAAUUCUAUACUUAUGUUACUUACUUGAGCCUACCAAAAUCCCUUGAGUUCUAUCUCCUUGUAUGAGAAUGAUUUGUUUUAUCAGUGGUUUCUUCAGUGUAUACGGCAAUGUUUCAUAUAUCAGACAACUAGUGAAACUUUGAUAUAGCUCUGCAUCAGUUUUAACAUAAUUUAUGUAGAGGUAUGUUUUUCCUAAGCAUAGAAUUAAGCCUCAUUUGCAAUUAUGUUUGCUAUAAAACAAUCUUGUUGUUUGCGUUUGCAUCACUUUCACUAUUUAAGAUAAAUGUCUUUCGUAUAGAUCUCAGGAUGUUUUCAAUGUGCAUUGAAGUUACUUAAUGAAUAAUGCAACUCUAGCAUCUAUGGAUAUACUUAUGUAUUCCCUAAUUGACUUGUUUACACCUACUUUAAUGCAUUUAAUCUCGUUAUACAUUUCUCUAGAUAAAAUAUUUACCAUCCUAAUCUUCACAAUUGCAUUUGCAUGCUUUCUCCUGAUAAUAAAAAAUCCAUUGUUUAUUGCAGUUCAACCUUGUAAGUUGUAUGUGGUGGGAAACCUCUUAACUGAGGUAUCUGUUGAUCCCAUGACUGGUCUUAUUCGUUGAAUAAGAGAAGUUGCUUAGAAUGAUAUUGAUGUCCCCUUUGUUAUUUAUGGAAAAUCUCUCUACAAGUGAAGUAAUGUAUAAUAUUCAUAUAGAAGAGAACUCACGAUUCCACUGUAUGGCAGAUGUUAUAAUGUGCUAAAUAUGUGCGGGUAACUUUUGAUUAUUCAUUCACAAAUUGUGUAUUAUGAUAUGUACGUUAAAAAGUGUAUUGUAUUUGAUCUGCUAUAUACUGAAAAAGUACAAUAUUUUUUUUGUUCACAGGAUAUACAGCAAGUCAAGGUUGUUUAUAAUCAGGAGUUGAGAACACCAGUCUCCAUAGGAUACAACAAUGCAAGUCAAAAAUAUCUCAGGUGCUGUUGAUUUUGGUCAUUUAUGCUACUGUUAAUUACUUGUGAUGUGAAAAAUCUAUAGCAUUUACAAUCAAGUGAAUGAAUUAACUUAAUUGAGCAUAUGCAAUUAUGAAUUCAUGAUGUUAAAAUUUUCUAUGAACUAAACGUAAUAAGUCUUCAAGAUUUUUGACUCUGCAUUAUCAUCAUUUAUGAAUGCUGAUCAAUAAGUGAAAAGGAAAAAGGAAGAGUGGUUAUAUUAUAUGGAAUCUUAUCCUACUUGUCUAAAAUUAAUUUUGGCAUACAUUGAACUAUGUUGUGCAUUGGUUAUGGAGAUUUGGUGAAAACAUGUUUUCAAAACAGUCUAGAUAAAAUACUAGGUUUAGACCAGUUUCCAUACCAAAAGCAGUUUUAAAAGUCGGUUUAUAAAAAAUUGCAAGACAUUUUCAUCUAAGCUUAUGCACUAAUAUUUCAAAUAGAUCCUAUCAACAUAUGUGAGUUCUAAAUAAAUUUCAAUAAAUAUGAGAAAGUAGGGUGAAAAGUAAUAUAGAGUCAUAGAUAUCUAUUAUCUCUAAGAUCAAUCAAUAUUAAUGAUGAUAGGAGUAUCUUGAAUUGGUCCCAUAUCCAUUGAUGAGGCACUUAAGUGAGUAGUUGAAAGUAGAAUUGUGCAACAUUCCUCACUGGCUUUCAGUGACUCACUUCCCCACCAACACUCUUUUUCUUUGUCCUUUUUUCUCAAAUAAGUAUAAAGAAAAAUACAUAAAGUACUUACCAAAAUUUUGCCAACAAUAUUUGCGUGGUGUAUCAUGCACCGAAUUAGGUGAUAUCCCACUCCCACAUUGUAGAGGGUGUUAUCAUCCCUUCGAUAUAUAUAUAUAGGACCAAGCCACAAAAGUUGAGGUAAUUAUUUUUGGGAAAUGAAUAUAAUUCAGGACAAUGGAGUAUUAUACUAUUAACUAUUUUUCAAUCAAUCAAGGCUAACAACAAAAAGGCGUUGUUCCACAAUUUGGGAGGAUAUUGGCUUCAAUGUGAAGUUUGUUUGGGAUUAAUGAGUGAAAAGGAGGGGAGGGAAUAUGAGAAAUAAAUAAAACAAUUAAUAUGUCUUUAUUUGCAUUAACAAAAACUUAGUCUAGUUAACCAAAUAAUUGGACUCAAGUUUUGAAUCUUGACUCUAAUAGUUAUUAGUCAAACUAUGAACUCUAAAUUACUAGAAUCUAUUUUUUCUUAGAAUCGUAUAGUUAAAAAAAUAAAUAAAAAACCUAGCCUAAAGUUUUUAAGUGGUGGGAGAGAUAUGAUAUCAUAGGACUCUUGAUUUACCUUACAAUGUUGUACUGAUGAGAGGAUUUGGGGGGGAGAGAGUAACAUGGCUUUCAUGUGCCAAAUGAAAGGUAAAGUCACCAUCAACUUUAAAGAUUAUCCCUUGGGUACUUGAGUUGCUCUUCUUAAAGAAAAACUGAAAAAUUGUAGGCCUUUUCCAUCUCUUUCAUUUCAAAUCCAUUUCUUUUUCCAAUUAAUUUCAUUCGCAGAACAUGAAUAGUAGUCUAUGCAAGGAAUGUGACAUCCACUCAACUGGUUCUCCAUGUAUAAAUUGAGAAAUAUUACAUGAACACGACUAUACCUCGACGAAUGAUAACUACUAGUUAUGUAUAAUCCUUACUCUACAUGUGAAUUUUAA